rnacentral:lncRNA from 1 species
AGUUUGAACAGUACACUUCAACAGUUCCUGAGUGGUUUAGAAAGACAGGCCACCCAGACAGACUUCAUAGUAGUGCAGAUUCAAAAGAUGCAAGAGGCUGGAGCACAAAAUCAACGGCUCAUUGAUGAUAUGGAGUUCGAUUUGGCGACAUGCUUCACAGACCCUGAUCCACCACCGCAACCACCGUCAGCAAACUUCCCUGCCCCCCAACUUCCAGUAGAUCCAACCAGGGAGGAUACACCGUCAGCAGACUCCUAGCGGAAAGAAAAAAUUUGUGAUAUUUUCCUCCAUCCUUUUUCUUUAUUUUAUUUUUUUUAAUUUUAUUUUAUUUUAUUUUAUUUUAUUUUAUUUUUAUUUUUUUAUUUAUUUAUUUAUUUUCUUUCAAUUUGUUAUCUUCUUUUACUUUCUUGCUUGUAGCUUGUUUACUUUUAUGUUAUUUCCUUGCACUUGUUUGUUUAUGUUAAGUAGAACACUAUGCCUUUUUAAUUAAAAAAAAUAAAAAAUAAAAAAAUAAAAAAAUAAAAAAAUCAGCAUGAUCUUCCAUAACCAUAAUGUGUGAAUCAUAUGCUUCCUCAGUCUAAAUCUCUCUAACACUGUGGACAGUGUUAUACUAAAAUGUGGGGUAGGGACCUACCGAUGUUGUGCCUAUCUUGAGUUUUGUUUUAAUUAAGUAGUUGAUGACUUUUUUCUCCUUUGAAUGGAUUCCCUUAUAGCUUUUAUCGAACCUUGUUCGGAAGAAGGCAAUGAAUAAAUCUCUCAACUACAAUCCAGCCAGGUAAAACUGGUAUUUUUUUCUUAAUUCUUCCAUAUUACUUUAUCGUAGAUAUAGAACACUGUUAAUAUUGCUGCUUAUUAUUGUGAUUGACUGUUUAAACUUUAGGUUGAGAAUUCAUGCAAUUUUAAAUCACUCAAAUGGUGAGAUUUUGAGCCAAUUGGUGCAUCACUAUUAUGCUCCCUUUUCUUUCAUUAGUGAGCAUUUUACAGAAUCUCUGUUUCUAGAACUGCUUUACGAUAUCUGUUGAAAUUACAUGAAUUGUCAAUAAUCGUGAGAUGAUUUGGGCACUUAGGAUUUACACAAUUUGGCCAAAAAGCCUAACCCUAUUUUUCCCUUAGUGAACCAAUUUUGAGCCUUAACCAUUCCUUUCGUGACAAUAAUAACGGUGACACUCAUCUUAUCACUUCUAUUCAUUUGACCAUUCUUUCUACCAUUGUUGCUGGGAAUUAUAUAAGUUAUGCUGCAUUUUACUUUGGAUCAAUCUGCAUUCAUAUAUUUCACUAAGUUGCUAGAUUUUUCAUAGAUGCUCC